CGGCAAAAGUUUCGCCCGCAGCCCGCGCUCUGCUCCCGAAAGUCCCCGCGCCCGGCCCACCACCCCUUUCUGGCCCCUUGGCCCUUGGCCCCUCGCGCCGUCUCUUAAGUUAACCCGCCUUUUACUUGCCCUCCUUGUACCCUCACUCUCAGAGGACAGCUUCCGGACACCCAGCGCCCCUAGUCCUGUUCCAGCUGGCGUGAAAACCCGGGCGGCAGGAGGCGCGGUGCGGGGUUCGCGCUCGGCCUCGGGGCGGAGCGGCGGCGGCGGCUUUGUGCUCCCUCUCCCGCGUGCAACCGAGCUCCCCGACAGCAGAUUCGAGCAGCCCGGCCCGCGUCCAAAUCCGAUUCCCCGGGGACGGUCCCGGCCCACAGAUGGCUGUGCGAGCGACCGCACGCGCCGUGCGCCAGAGUGCCCCUGACCCUUCUCGACCUGUAUUUUUCCAGGUCCCUCCUGGUGUGACUGAAGUACAGCCGCAACUUUAUAAUCAUGCCUGGGACCAGAGCGCUGCCAGGGCCUAUUUGAAGCUCAAGGAAAAUAAACAGCCAUCUUUAGGAGACCUGAUCUUUAGC
rnacentral:lncRNA from 1 species